rnacentral:lncRNA from 1 species
CGUACAACUGAGGUGCGUUUAUGGUUAUCUCAUAGCCAGCCUGGGAGUUUUGCCUCUCACAUCAUUUUCUCCUGAAAAUGAAAAAUAGAAAAGAAAGAUUCAACGAUAAGCAUCCUCAGUGAUAUUUGUGUACAAUUUUAUCAUAAAAGGUUCUUGACGAUAUUAAUUAGAGCAACUCUAGUGUAGGAGCCCUCCCCCAGGCUAUUCACUAUUUAAUUCACCCAGUGAACAGUAACUGCCCUUAAUGAACAGUAAU